AACGAACGCUGGCGGCAUGCCUAACACAUGCAAGUCGAACGAGACCUUCGGGUCUAGUGGCGCACGGGUGCGUAACGCGUGGGAACCUGCCCUUAGGUUCGGAAUAACUCCCCGAAAGGGGUGCUAAUACCGGAUAAUGUCUUCGGACCAAAGAUUUAUCGCCUUUGGAUGGGCCCGCGUUGGAUUAGCUAGUUGGUAGGGUAAAAGCCUACCAAGGCGACGAUCCAUAGCUGGUCUGAGAGGAUGAUCAGCCACACUGGGACUGAGACACGGCCCAGACUCCUACGGGAGGCAGCAGUGGGGAAUAUUGGACAAUGGGCGAAAUCCUGAUCCAGCAAUGCCGCGUGAGUGAUGAAGGCCGUAGGGUUGUAAAGCUCUUUUACCCGGGAUGAUAAUGACAGUACCGGGAGAAUAAGCUCCGGCUAACUCCGUG
rnacentral:rRNA from 1 species